AUUCUGGGAAGCGGAGUUCCAGCCUUUCUCUUUCCGCGGGAGGGAAUGAAAGGGAGGGUGAGAACCGUUAGUUAUUUCUUUCUUUGGUCGUGCCCCUAAUCAGGUCCAGGAUUCGAGUUUGUGUUCUUUCGUUUUAAUUCCUUUUAAAGCGCGUUCGUUUGCCUGAGAUCUAGCUUCUAGAUGGCGUUCCUAUAGCCUCCCGGAGCCCCAGCCAUCCUCCGUAGAAGGGUCCCUGCCGCAGUGCGGGGCCUGAGGGAAGUCGGCUCUGGCGUCCGUGCUCCAACGCUGGGAGCAGCCCUGAAACUCCAGUGACCCUCAGCCGUCUGCCUUUGUUUUGGGAUAAAUGAAUUCAAGCAUUCUUCAGUCAAUUCGAUUUAUCCAAGGGAUCAGGGACACAUUUUCUCUAUUGCUAGCACUGACGUGGGCCAUUAAAAACAAAAACAAAAACGAAAUUAAAAAGAAAACCCUUAGCUCUCUCUUCAAGUAAGUCUUAAGUGGCCAAAAUUGACCUUAUGGGCAAGUCCUGUAACGUGACAGCCAUUUUAGGACGCUUGUGACAUGCUGUUCAGGUUCUAGUCUGAAGUAGGAUUUUUCUCGCAUCUUGGUCACUGGUAGCACUUAAUGACUCCUCUGAGAGUGGUUUUGUCAUUUUUGCUGUUAGAGUUCACGAUAACUAAGAUCCUGGAGAAUUGAAUCCAUUUUCUCAGCUUAGAUAUAAAUCAAACCAUCCCUGUUGACAACACGUCAGCCUGCUGUGGGAAUACAUUGCUGGUUAUUUCUGACUUAUCAAUGUGAAUUUUGAUUAUGGAAGCUGAAUUCUGGUUGAUAGGGAUCCAUUGUAAUGUUCUCUCUACUUUUGCGCAUUUUUAAGUAUUUCAUAAUGCGAAAUAUAAAAAGUGUGUGUCUAUAGUGAGUGCUGUUCAAUAAGAUUCUUAUAAGGAGUGAAGAAUUCAAGCACUUAGUUCUUAAGUAUUACUUGUAAUGGGCAGUGGGCUGGAGGUGUUCCAGGCAGACGGAACUCAAUUACCAAGAGCACAGAAGCAAGAGAUCAUCUAUUCCAUAGAUUAGAAAGUGGUGGAUCAUAAAGCAUGAGGUAGAAUUCUGAGAGACAGAACUAGAGACUUAAACCAGAUUAAGAUUAGCCGUCUGUGACAAGCACUGGUCAUUGGGAUUCUCCCUGCCACUCACUCCUUUCUCCUUGCUAACAAGAUCCUGAUUUGUUCAAGAAGCAGGUAAAGAUUAUGUGAUCUCAGAGUAGAAGGCCUUUAGAAUUAAGAUUGAACUAAAUAGGUUGUAUUCAUUUUCUAUUUCUGCCUUAACAAAUUACCACAAAUUUAGUGUCUUAAACCAACUCAAAUCUAUUAUUUUUACAGUUCGGUAUAUCAGAAAUUUGGUAUGGGUCUCACUUAACUAAAAGCAAGUUAUUAGCAAAGCUGCAUUCCUUUCUGGAUGUUCUAGGGGAGAAUCAGUUUCCUGCUAAUUUGAGUUAUUGGCAGAAUUCAUUUUCUUGCAGUUGUAGGGUUCA
rnacentral:lncRNA from 1 species